ACUCAAAUGAAUUGACGGGGGCUCACACAAGCGGUGGAGGAUGUGGUUUAAUUCGAAGCAACGCGCAGAACCUUACCAGGUCUUGACAUACCGGGAUUAUUCGUGUGAAAGCAUGAAAAUUCUCAGCAAUGAGGUAACCGGAACAGGUGCUGCAUGGCUGUCGUCAGCUCGUGCCGUGAGGUGUUAGGUUAAGUCCUUUAACGAGCGAAACCCCUACGAUUAGUUACCAGCGCGUCAUGGCGGGGACUCUAGUCGGACUGCCGCGCAAGCAGGAGGAAGGUGGGGACGACGUCAAGUCAUCAUGGCCUUUAUGACCUGGGCCACACACGUCCUACAAUGGGUACUACAAAGGGCAGCAAGCCUGCAAAGGCAAGCCAAUCCCCGAAAGGUACCCUCAGUUCAGAUUGUGGGCUGCAAUUCGCCCACAUGAAGCUGGAAUCGCUAGUAAUCGCGGAUCAGCCACGCCGCGGUGAAUUUGUUCCUGAGCCUUGUACACACCGCCCGU
rnacentral:rRNA from 1 species